rnacentral:rRNA from 1 species
CCGGCGACCGGCGGACGGGUGCGUAACGCGUAUGUAACCUACCUUUGACAGGGGGAUAACAUCGAGAAAUUGGUACUAAUACCCCAUAACAUCACCGGAGGCAUCUUCGGUGGUUGAAAACUCAGGUGGUCAGAGAUGGACAUGCGUUGUAUUAGCUAGUUGGUGAGGUAACGGCUCACCAAGGCGACGAUACAUAGGGGGACUGAGAGGUCAACCCUCCACAUUGGUACUGAGACACGGACCAAACUCCUACGGAAGGCAGCAG